UGCCUAAUACAUGCAAGUUGAACGCACAGCGAAAGGUGCUUGCACCUUUCAAGUGAGUGGCGAACGGGUGAGUAACACGUGGACAACCUGCCUCAAGGCUGGGGAUAACAUUUGGAAACAGAUGCUAAUACCGAAUAAAACUUAGUGUCGCAUGACACAAAGUUAAAAGGCGCUUCGGCGUCACCUAGAGAUGGAUCCGCGGUGCAUU
rnacentral:rRNA from 1 species